UUCUGUCAUUCUGCUUCAUUUUCAAAACGUCAUUUUUUGUUUACGUUCCUAUUCGUAAUUGAAGAAUUGCUAAAAAAAAAGUUUGCCAAUUUUUGCUCGUUUGAACAAUUGUUAUAAACCAAGGAAAAUUUUAAAAUAUCCAAUAAAAUAAAAUUCAUCUUACUUGCUAGUGUACACUUGUUAUACAUUCUUACAGUUUAGUUUCUGGACUUCUCAUUCUUCGAAGGAAUAUACACACAAUAAUGACUGAAGCAAAGAAGAACGCACUUACAGCUGCUUAUCGCGCUCAUAAAUCCCUGCAAUUGGAAUUAACAGACUUUGAGGAUAAUACAGCAUUUGCUGCACACUUGGUAGAACAAUUAAGGCGUCUGCCUACAGAUAGCCGUGUUAACGCCAUGGCCGGUAUAUUAGCAAUACUGAAUCGCUUUGUACGCGUACAAGGAGAAACUCAGUAAGCAAUUCGCAUGGAGAUUUAUUUCGCCGGUUCAUCGUCCGCACACUGCGUACCUAUAAGGAUAGCAUAAGAGGGCGGUGACGGUGAAAGCAAAAUAUGUUAAGGGAAAUGUGUUGCUAAAAGCAUCGAAUCUUUGGAGGUGUUCCUAAUGUGCGUUUAUAUAUUUUGUUGUGUGUCCUGUUUUCUUGUAAGACAUGGCAUAUGUGCUACCUAUUUUUCUUUUAUAGAACUCUAUUGAAAGUAUGACAUCGAUGUUCGAGUUAUGAGGGAGUAUAAUGUAAUAGUUAGCAUGAUUUUCCGAUUCAUCACAAACAUUCAUACAUAUAUUUUUGUUACAUUAAAACACAUCGAAAAAACUGUAAUAAGUAUUUAAUUUAA